rnacentral:rRNA from 1 species
CGUGGGAGCAAACAGGAUUAGAUACCUGGUAGUCCACGCCGUAAACGAUGAGUGCUAAGUGUUGGAGGGUUUCCCCUUUCAGUGCUGCAGUUAACGCAUUAAGCACUCCGCUGGGGAGUACGGCCGCAAGGCUGAAACUCAAAGGAAUUGACGGGGGCCCGCACAAGCGGUGGAGCAUGUGGUUUAAUUCGAAGCAACGCGAAGAACCUUACCAGGUCUUGACAUCCUUUGACCACUCUAGAGAUAGAGCUUUCCCUUCGGGGACAAAGUGACAGGUGGUGCAUGGUUGUCGUCAGCUCGUGUCGUGAGAUGUUGGGUUAAGUCCCGCAACGAGCGCAACCCUUAUUGUUAGUUGCCAUCAUUCAGUUGGGCACUCUAGCGAGACUGCCGGUGACAAACCGGAGGAAGGUGGGGAUGACGUCAAAUCAUCAUGCCCCUUAUGACCUGGGCUACACACGUGCUACAAUGGACGGUACAAUGAGUUGCGAGACCGCGAGGUUUAGCUAAUCUCUUAAAGCCGUUCUCAGUUCGGAUUGUAGGCUGCAACUCGCCUACAUGAAGCCGGAAUCGCUAGUAAUCGUGGAUCAGCACGCCACGGUGAAUACGUUCCCGGGCCUUGUACACACCGCCCGUCACACCACGAGAGUUUGUAACACCCAAAGUCGGUGAGGUAACCUUUUGGAGCCAGCCGCCUAAGGUGGGAUAGAUGAUUGGGGUGAAGUCGUAACAAGGUAACCA